CACGAGUUCAGACUCGUGGCGAAUAGCUCAGUAACACGUGGCCAAACUACCCUUCGGAACACAAUACCCUCGGGAAACUGAGGCUAAUAGUGUAUACCAUACCACCACUGGAAUGAGUGGUAUGCCAAACGCUCCGGCGCCGAAGGAUGUGGCUGCGGCCGAUUAGGUAGACGGUGGGGUAACGGCCCACCGUGCCAAUAAUCGGUAUGGGUCAUGAGAGUGAGAACCCAGAGACGGAAUCUGAGACAAGAUUCCGGGCCCUACGGGGCGCAGCAGGCGCGAAACCUUUACACUGCACGACAGUGCGAUAGGGGGAUCCCAAGUGCACAGGCAUAGCGCCUGUGCUUUUCGGUACCCUAAGGCGGUACCAGAAUAAGGGCUGGGCAAGACCGGUGCCAGCCGCCGCGGUAAUACCGGCAGCCCAAGUGAUGGCCGAUCUUAUUGGGCCUAAAGCGUCCGUAGCUGGCCGCGCAAGUCCAUCGGGAAAUCCACCUGCUCAACAGGUGGGCGCCCGGUAGAAACUGCGUGGCUUGGGACCGGAAGGCGCGACGGGUACGUCC
rnacentral:rRNA from 2 species